rnacentral:tRNA from 1 species
GAAGAUGCUGAGAUGGGCCCUAAAACUCCCUUCAAACA